CUUUUAUCGCACGGGAGUCCCGUAAAUCUGCCCGGGGCUGAGAGGACGGCAGCGUAGCCGUCGACCGUAGAACCUGACCGGGUAAUGCCGGCGUAGGGAGUUUUCUCACCAUGAGC
rnacentral:ncRNA from 1 species